CAGAAAUAUCUGGGGAGAGGCUUUGGAAUCAUAAAGAGUCGGAAUUAAAAUACUGUUGUGCCACUUACCAACUUUGGGACAAGCCGAUCUGUCUGCACCUCAAUCUCCCAGUCUGUGAAUUGGGACCAGUGAUUCCUACCACCUGGGGGUACUGUGGACAUUCACCAACACGAUGGAUGUGAAAGCAUCCCACUUAUCUCAGUGGUUAAGUUGCAAGAAUAUUUCCAAAGCAGAUGCCAAACUGUACGCUGAUGCCAAAAGCAAGUAUUUGCAAAACUGUAAAGGAAGGAGAAGAAAACAUCAGCCUCUUGGGAAGCUACCAAAGGAGAGAGAACCUGGACUCAGUUUGUUCUGCUCUCUUUUAGGGAAGGAGGAGUGAGCUCCUAGCUAGUGAGAGGCCUCUGUACGUUGGGACUGUGCAUUCACUAACUCCACUGUCCUUACAUUUGCCAUUUAUUUGAAAAAGAUGACCUGUGUGUACGAGGACCUGGGUUUGAAUCUUGACUUGUUAUAUAUGGGUUGUGAGACCCUGGAUAAACCACUGAACUUUUUCGGGCUUCAGAUUCCUCAUCUGUGAAACAGAGACCAUAAUGCCAACCUUAUUCUAAUUUUGUGGAAAAAGAAAAGCAUAAUAACAAAUGCAAAAUCCUAGCAGAGUUAAUAGGACAGAAAAGGUACUCAAUUGGCUAUUGUUUUUAAUUAAUGGAAAAAUGAUAUUAAACAAUAGCUUUCUAGAAAAUGUAUAUGUUUGUGGUAUAUUAACAUAAAAACAUGUUAAAAAACAAGUAAUAAAACUGUAUAUGCGUUCUUCAAUA
ensembl:lncRNA novel transcript